UCGUUAACGAACGAGACCUCGACCUGCUAAAUAGUUUGGCGCACGCCUUCAAGCGUGUGUCCCUAACUUCUUAGAGGGACUAUUGUUGAUUAAACAAUGGAAGUUCGAGGCAAUAACAGGUCUGUGAUGCCCUUAGAUGUUCUGGGCCGCACGCGCGCUACACUGACAGGUUCAACGAGCUUGUGGAUGCCCGAUAGGGUUUCCUAAUCUUUUCAAAGCCUGUCGUGCUGGGGAUAGAUUAUUGUAAUUGUUAAUCUUCAACGAGGAAUUCCUAGUAAACGCAAGUCAUCAACUUGCAUUGAUUACGUCCCUGCCCUUUGUACACACCGCCCGUCGCUAUUACCGAUUGAAUGGAUA
rnacentral:rRNA from 1 species